rnacentral:rRNA from 1 species
UCGAAGAAUUGACGGGCGCACAACGGUGGAACUGUGUUAAUUCGUGCAACGAGACCUACCUGGUCUUGACACCUUGGCGCUUCAAAGGUAAGGUUGUUUCCUCGGAGGCCAGGUGACAGGUGCUACAUGGUCGUCGUCAGCUCGUGUCGUGAGAUGUUGGUUAAGUCCCGCAACGCUGCAACCCUACCCUUAAUUGCCAUCGGGUUAUGCCGGCACUUUAGGGGACUGCCGGUGACAAGCCGGAGGAGGGUGGGGAUGACGUCAAGUCCUCAUGGCCUUUAUGACCAGGGCUACACACGUGUUACAAUGGGAGUUACAGAGGGAAGCUAAACCGCGAGGUCAUGCCAAUCCCAGAAAAACUUUCUCAGUUCGGAUCGCAGUCUGCAACUCGACUGCGUGAAGCUGGAAUCGCUAGUAAUCGCGGAUCAGCACGCCGCGGUGAAUACGUUCCCGGGCC